GAUUCCACCCAGGGCAGGGCUGCUGUGUUUUCUCUGAGGCCAACUUUCAGGGAAAAGAAGGAUCUUGCUGGGAUUUUGCUCAGGCCUAAGUCUGCCAGCUGGGAUGGCCUGGGGCCUAAGAAAUGCCUAGCUUCCCUCCCCACCUGUCCCCAUGGAGGGAGACUGAGAAGACGCUGGAUGAACCAGACCAUGGCUCCUUCAGGAGAGAGGUUGAUUGACUUAUGUGCAAUUUGGGACGCUGGAGUUUACCUUCCCUCCGCAGCCUGCAACAGAGCCUCCUCUGGUGUUGCAAGGAAGAGGCUGAAUGAGGCAGAGAAGCUAAGCUCUGUCCAGGAGGCCCAGUUAAAGCGGCUCGAGGUGACAAGACCCCGAGUGCUGGGGAGCAGGGAGCGGGGCCAGGUGCCGAGGAUGGCCAGGCAGCCACCGCCGCCCUGGGUCCAUGCAGCCUUCCUCCUCUGCCUCCUCAGUCUUGGCGGAGCCAUCGAAAUUCCUAUGGAUCUGACGCAGCCGCCAACCAUCACCAAGCAGUCAGUGAAGGAUCACAUCGUGGACCCCCGUGAUAACAUCCUGAUUGAGUGUGAAGCAAAAGGGAACCCUGCCCCCAGCUUCCACUGGACACGAAACAGCAGAUUCUUCAACAUCGCCAAGGACCCCCGGGUGUCCAUGAGGAGGAGGUCUGGGACCCUGGUGAUUGACUUCCGCAGUGGCGGGCGGCCGGAGGAAUAUGAGGGGGAGUAUCAGUGCUUCGCCCGCAACAAAUUUGGCACGGCCCUGUCCAAUAGGAUCCGCCUGCAGGUGUCUAAAUCUCCUCUGUGGCCCAAGGAAAACCUAGACCCUGUCGUGGUCCAAGAGGGCGCUCCUUUGACGCUCCAGUGCAACCCCCCGCCUGGACUUCCAUCCCCGGUCAUCUUCUGGAUGAGCAGCUCCAUGGAGCCCAUCACCCAAGACAAACGUGUCUCUCAGGGCCAUAACGGAGACCUAUACUUCUCCAACGUGAUGCUGCAGGACAUGCAGACCGACUACAGUUGCAACGCCCGCUUCCACUUCACCCACACCAUCCAGCAGAAGAACCCUUUCACCCUCAAGGUCCUCACCAACCACCCUUAUAAUGACUCGUCCUUAAGAAACCACCCUGACAUGUACAGUGCCCGAGGAGUUGCAGAAAGAACACCAAGCUUCAUGUAUCCCCAGGGCACCGCGAGCAGCCAGAUGGUGCUUCGUGGCAUGGACCUCCUGCUGGAAUGCAUCGCCUCCGGGGUCCCAACACCAGACAUCGCAUGGUACAAGAAAGGUGGGGACCUCCCAUCUGAUAAGGCCAAGUUUGAGAACUUUAAUAAGGCCCUGCGUAUCACAAAUGUCUCUGAGGAAGACUCCGGGGAGUAUUUCUGCCUGGCCUCCAACAAGAUGGGCAGCAUCCGGCACACGAUCUCGGUGAGAGUAAAGGCUGCUCCCUACUGGCUGGACGAACCCAAGAACCUUAUCCUGGCUCCUGGCGAGGAUGGGAGACUGGUGUGUCGAGCCAAUGGAAACCCCAAACCCACUGUCCAGUGGAUGGUGAAUGGGGAACCUUUGCAAUUGGCACCACCUAACCCAAACCGUGAGGUGGCCGGAGACACCAUCAUCUUCCGGGACACCCAGAUCAGCAGCAGGGCUGUGUACCAGUGCAACACCUCCAACGAGCAUGGCUACCUGCUGGCCAAUGCCUUUGUCAGUGUGCUGGAUGUGCCACCUCGGAUGCUGUCGCCCCGGAACCAGCUCAUUCGAGUGAUUCUUUACAACCGGACGCGGCUGGACUGCCCUUUCUUUGGGUCUCCCAUCCCCACACUGCGAUGGUAAGUUCCAGGAGAUCAGGCCUUCCACAGCAGGGGUCACCUGUCUCAUCUUCUCCUUCCCAUCUGGCCCAUAGUAGGUGUUCAGCAAGACCUGGGAAUCUUAAAGGGUCAAAGCUGGGAGGAAGUUAGCAGAUCAUCUGGAUCAACCUCCUCAUUGUACAGAAUGGGAAACCAAGACCUUGAGAGGGAUGGAGGCUUGCCAGGGCCACCUGGUGGUUAGAGGCAGACCCUCCGAGGCUCAGGGCUCCAGUCUCCUAGCAUGGGGCUCCUUCCACAGCCCCCAUGGUCUCUCUUGAUUGGCUGCUGCCCCUGCCCUUGGGCUGGUCCUGUCUCAGGAUGCUGUGUGUUCUGCUGCUCUGUUGUGAGGUUUAAGAAUGGGCAAGGAAGCAACCU
rnacentral:sRNA from 1 species